AUGCUCGGGUGCCGCCACGGCCGUGUCCUCAUCGUAGACGGUAAAAGUUGGGAGCUCGUCGUUUGCACCCCCAUCACCGGCGAGCAGCAGCAGGUGCCCAUCCCGACGGAGUUCGACGGGGGCUGCUUCAUGGGUACGGUGAUGUGUGCUGCCGGCGACCCUGGCCACGUGCACGGUGCCUGUCAUUCGGGCCCCUUUAAGGUUGUCUUGGUGUCCGCCUACCACGAGGAAAAGAUCGCUUGUGUUUACUUCUCAGAGACUGGCUCAUGGGGCAAUCUCAUCUCGAAGGUCGGUCCAUAUCAAACAUUUACUGCGGGUUGUCCUGGGUUGCUUGUUGGCAUGACACUUUACUGGUUGUCCACGGAAGAUACCAUAAUUGAGUUUGAUUUGGAAGAGCAGAGUCUAGCUCUGGUCAAUGUGCCUCCCGGUACAGAGGAACUCCACAAUCGUCAGAUCAUCCUGGCUGAGGAUGGCACUAUUGGCUUUGUCAUUUUAUCUUACCCGCAUUUCCAAAUGUGGCAGAGAAACAUGAACUGUCGUGGCGUUGCCACAUGGGUGCCGUGGAAAACCAUUCAAAUUCACACCAUUCUUGGCCUCCCUCCCCAGCUUGAGUUACCAAUAAUGAAAACUAUAAUUGUGCUAUGA
rnacentral:rRNA from 1 species